AUGGUCUAUGCAUAAAUCUUUUGACAUCCACUGCUCAUGAUCAAUGCUGUGACUGUAAUAUAAUCAUGUAUGUAAUCUCUGCUGUGACGGGCAUAAAUGUUUAUUUUCAGCAGAAUUUAUUUCUAUAUCUAUAAAUAAGUACUUUAUUAAUAUAUCUUUUUUCUUCCUAUAGGACCCUGUCAUGUCUCCACCGGGUGGUUUUUCCCUCUUGAGUACCUCUACAAUUUGCUACCUUUGUGGUCUCUCAGUGGGGAGGGGGAGACGCAGGGCCCUGUGUUCUCUUCUUCCUCCACAAGAUGGUGCUCACUGCGCCAUGAUGGAGGUGUUUCCUCCCCACUGACGGCGUCAGCGACGCUCCCUGGAGCCGUGGACGCCCCGUGCGCGCGCGCAGUGCGCGCGCACGUGACGUCACUGCGGCGCUCGCGAUCGCAACAGAGGGUUGGGGUUAAUUCCCUUCUCUGACGCCGAGGAGCUCACAGCUGGGAGGGUCAUCUGACCCUGGCAUCCUGGUUCAGUUGGAGGAGCCUGUUUGGGAGGGGCAGUCCACCAGGUUGGACAGGGAUUUUCCAAGCAAGGCAUCAGCUGCCUAAGAGUGAUUACCUAAGUGGAAGCACCUGACAUGCACAUACUUAAACACACUAGGUGUACACCUGACACCUGCCUGUGAUCCCAUUCCCAUACCUUACUGGAUACACCACACAGAGGAUACGCCUACUAAUGCCUCUUCUGGAAUUUGUUGCUACAAUUUAUUAUUAUACAUUCAAACAAGGCAUCACUCAGGCAGCUUGCUUUGCUGGGCCCCCUGCCCACCUGCCCGGCCCACGCUCCCUGGCUGUACUUGGAUUCCUCCCACUCACACUGUGAGUUCCUGUAGGCCACUCAUAAGGGGCAUUUCUGAGGACUCUCGUGUGGGGGUAUAGACCACCCGUAUGGAGACAAGUUAUCAGGGAUCCUCAGGACUUUAAUUCUACUCUGGUCCAAAUAAAACUGAGAAACACAACCUUUUGCAUCAUAUACCUUUUCCUCCAAAGAAGACUCACAUGCAAGGGUCGAAACGCGUCAGGAACAUUUUGACUUAAAGAUCAGCCAAUCAUGUUGAUCAAUGUCAUGCAACUUUGAUGCUUUAUCAUCAUAUGUAUGUGUUCUCAAUGUUUAAACUGUACCAGAGCUCAUUGUUUUAUAAUCAAACUUGUUCUACUUGCUAAAAUAAAUAUCUUUUCUACCUUUUUUACAAA